AGCAUUAUAGUUUAUAUAAAACAUCAUCUUGCAAGGAUGAAGAAGCCUACAAGGAUUUUGCUU
rnacentral:tRNA from 1 species